CACUGGCUGGACCACGUGUUGGACUUCUUCAGUCCUUUGAACUUCUUCUCGUUCUUUUGUUCCUUGACUUUUUUUGACUUCAAGACAGUACUUAAUAAUUUAAUAAUGUAUAGUACCACUCUCUCUCUAUCUUGUAGGUGAUGUUUCAGAAUUUUUUUAAAAAGAAGGUGCUCGUUGAAGUUGUUGCCAUUAGUUACGAGGAGCCACGCCCACUUGAAACAGACAAGCUGCAAGGGAGAUGAUUUUAGCAGGUGUUGCAUUGAAGCUAAAGUUAGUAACAUACUGUGUGAUGUAAUUAUGAUGUCAUGAACUUUUAGAUAAAAAUAAAAUCUGUUGAUAGUGUCAGUGCCUAUAUUGAAUCAAAUUUUGCAUGUCAAUCAGUAUUCAGGAGGUUGAUUUGACCUUUGUGUGUUCGGGUGACCUUUCAAACUGAAGCCCAUAUCAUGACCCACAGGAUUGAAUUGA